rnacentral:rRNA from 1 species
AGAGAUGUGUGAUGACGCAUAUCAAUAAGCGGAGGAAAAGAAACUAACAAGGAUUCCCUUAGUAACGGCGAGUGAAGCGGGAAGAGCUCAAAUUUGAAAUCUUCAAGGUUCUACCUUGACGAAUUGUAGUUUACAGAAGUGUUUUCUGUUAGUGGAGUGGCAAAAGUUCUUUGGAAUAGGACAUCAUAGAGGGUGAGAAUCCCGUAUUUGGUCAUUCCUCCUAGCGUUGUGAUACACUUUCAACGAGUCGGAUUGUUUGGGAAUGCAGUCCAAAAUGGGUGGUAAAUUUCAUCUAAAGCUAAAUAUUGGCGAGAGACCGAUAGCGAACAAGUACCGUGAGGGAAAGAUGAAAAGAACUUUGAAAAGAGAGUUAAACAGUACGUGAAAUUGUCAAAAGGGAAGCGUUUGACACCAGUGUUGUUUUUCCGAAAAUCAAUUACGAAUGUUUUGUUUUUGAGGAGUUAUGACUUCAUCGGCUUGCUCCUUUCUUUAUGAAACUUUCUUAAUGCACUUUUCGGUUAACAAGUCAACAUCAAUUUCUUUUGUUGUAAAAGGGUACGAGGAAGGUGGCUUUCUUUUCGGAGAAAGUGUUUAUAGCCUUUGAUCUCUGCAAUCGGAGAGAUUGAGGUCUGCAGCGUAGAUCCUUCGGGGUUAGAUACAUUUGUGCUAAGUUAUAGCUUUUCAUAGACAACUUGUUGACUAUGUUUAGUCUUGUAGCUUACUCGCUUAUGCUAUUUUACCUACGCUUAGGAUGUUGAACUACUGAGACAUAGA